rnacentral:rRNA from 1 species
UCUGCCUGGUAGUGGGGGACGAACGUUUCGAAAGGAACGCUAAUACCGCAUACGUCCUACGGGAGAAAGCAGGGACCUUCGGGCCUUGCGCUAUCAGAUGAGCCUAGGUCGGAUUAGCUAGUUGGUGAGGUAAUGGCUCACCAAGGCGACGAUCCGUAACUGGUCUGAGAGGAUGAUCAGUCACACUGGAACUGAGACACGGUCCAGACUCCUACGGGAGGCAGCAGA